rnacentral:rRNA from 1 species
GCACCACAAGGGGUGAAGCCUGCGGUUCAAUUGGAGUCAACGCCAGAAAUCUUACCUGGGGAGACAGCAGAAUGAAGGUCAAGCUGAAGACUUUACCAGACAAGCUGAGAGGUGGUGCAUGGCCGUCGCCAGCUCGUGCCGUGAGAUGUCCUGUUAAGUCAGGUAACGAGCGAGAUCCUUGCCUCUAGUUGCCACCAUUACUCUCAGGAGUAGUGGGGCGAAUUAGCGGGACCGCCGUAGUUAAUACGGAGGAAGGAAGGGGCCACGGCAGGUCAGUAUGCCCCGAAACUCUGGGGCCACACGCGGGCUGCAAUGGUAACGACAAUGUGUUCCGAAUCCGAAAGGAGGAGGUAAUCCUCAAACGUUACCACAGUUAUGACUGAGGGCUGCAACUCGCCCUCACGAAUAUGGAAUCCCUAGUAACUGCGUGUCAUUAUCGCGCGGUGAAUACGUCCCUGCUCCUUGCACACACCGCCCGUCGUUUCAUUGAAGUUUGCUUUUAGCGAGGUGACGUCUAAUUGGCGUUAUCGAACUUGAGGUAAGUGACAAGGGAA